rnacentral:lncRNA from 1 species
CAUCCAUCAAGCAAGCACAGAAACAAAGCAAAAGGAUCACAAGCAUUAUCACUAUUACAAACACCAAGCCUAUUGUUUCUGGAAAAGGUUCCCCACGACUUUAACACUAGUAAUACUAUUAUUUAAUUGCAGCCAACCAUUACAAGAGGUGGUGGUAGAUGCACUUUUGUAUAGAAGAAGCCAGGAAGAAUUGCAACAAUUAAGGUUACACCAAAGUGAUCAAAGACCCUGGUCUAUGAGAUAAUCACCAAGCCUUUCCACAAUCAUGUUGCACUGACCUGGAGUCAUUGGCUCGUCAUAGAUCCCAAUGAUCAAGGACAGGUUGGUCUUUUUAACAGUAACACCUCCGGGG